rnacentral:hammerhead_ribozyme from 1 species
AUACAGUUGAAAAGUUCCAAACAGGACAAAACGCGCGUCCUGAAU